GUUUACUAAAUCUCCUCCAUCAUUUGGAUCUUAUUUCUCAUAACACACUGCAAGUCUAUGUCUCCUGCCACCAGAAGCAAGACAGUUGGACCCUUUACAAUCUUCCGCCAGUCAUGUGAGCUGUUCACCCAGGAAGCAGUAGAAAUUCUAAGACCCAAACAUAAAAUGUUAAAACCUUAUUGCUGUACUUUAUUUUUGUGUUUCCUGAUGUCAUACAGUGCCUUUUGGUGGAACUGUCUUGUUCUGUUUAAUUUCUGCCUUUGGCCUGGAAAUUAUAUGGGCAAUGUCACAAAGGUCACCUGGGAAACCACACACUCCUCUCCUUGGCUGACCUUGGGAGGAACCGGUUUCGCAAGUUCUUCUCCUUGGAAUUUUAAUCUCAGAUGAAGUCAGCUCCUCCCUUCAGCGUGAAGCUGCCCCUCUGCACGGGUGGCACACGCCCCUCACAUCUCCUCGCAGCUCUUUCGCGGUCCGUGUACGAUCCUGGAAGAGGACAGGAUGCUGCAGACAGCAACUUGCAGUCAAUUCAGUCACCUAACACUUCGUCCUGGACGCCAGCUGUAAGUCACCCUGGCUCCUUGCUCCUCUUUACCCUCUCUGUCUGCCCCGAGGAAGGCCAGAGUGGAAGGAGAUGCAAGGAGAGUGUCCUUUCUCAGUGUGUAUGCGGCUGCGUUGCAGCCCUUUCCCCACGGUGCUUCCCCGACAUCGCCCUGCGCCCCCUCAUCCUUCACAGGACACUCACUCUCC
rnacentral:lncRNA from 1 species